rnacentral:rRNA from 1 species
AGUGAACGCUGGCGGCGUGCUUAACACAUGCAAGUCGAACGAGAACGGAAUAUAGCUUGCUAUAUUUGUCGGCUAAGUGGCGCACGGGUGAGUAAUAUAUAGAUAACCUGCCCUUAAGAAAGGAAUAACAGUUGGAAACGACUGCUAAUGCCCUAUAUGCCUUUAAUACAUAAGUAUGCAAGGGAAACGCUUUAGUGCUUAAGGAUGGGUCUGUAUGGUAUCAGCUUGUUGGUGAGGUAAUGGCUCACCAAGGCUAUGACGCCUAACUGGUUUGAGAGGAUGAUCAGUCACACUGGAACUGAGACACGGUCCAGACUCCUACGGGAGGCAGCAGUGGGGAAUAUUGCACAAUGGACGAAAGUCGGAUGCAGCAACGCCGCGUGGAGGAUGACACAUUUCGGUGCGUAAACUCCUUUUAUAUAGGAAGAUAAUGACGGUACUAUAUGAAUAAGCACCGGCUAACUCCGUGCCAGCCGCCGCGGUAAUAC